CAGCAACGCCGCGUGGAGGAUGACACUUUUCGGAGCGUAAACUCCUUUUCUUAGGGAAGAAUUCUGACGGUACCUAAGGAAUAAGCACCGGCUAACUCCGUGCCAGCAGCCGCGGUAAUACGGAGGGUGCAAGCGUUACUCGGAAUCACUGGGCGUAAAGGGCGCGUAGGCGGAUUAUCAAGUCUCUUGUGAAAUCUAAUGGCUUAACCAUUAAACUGCUUGGGAAACUGAUAGUCUAGAGUGAGGGAGAGGCAGAUGGAAUUGGUGGUGUAGGGGUAAAAUCCGUAGAUAUCACCAAGAAUACCCAUUGCGAAGGCGAUCUGCUGGAACUCAACUGACGCUAAGGCGCGAAAGCGUGGGGAGCAAACAGGAUUAGAUACCCUGGUAGUCCACGCCCUAAACGAUGUACACUAGUUGUUGGGGUGCUAGUCAUCUCAGUAAUGCAGCUAACGCAUUAAGUGUACCGCCUGGGGAGUACGGUCGCAAGAUUAAAACUCAAAGGAAUAGACGGGGACCCGCACAAGCGGUGGAGCAUGUGGUUUAAUUCGAAGAUACGCGAAGAACCUUACCUGGGCUUGAUAUCCUAAGAACCUUUUAGAGAUAAGAGGGUGCUAGCUUGCUAGAACUUAGAGACAGGUGCUGCACGGCUGUCGUCAGCUCGUGUCGUGAGAUGUUGGGUUAAGUCCCGCAACGAGCGCAACCCACGUAUUUAGUUGCUAACGGUUCGGCCGAGCACUCUAAAUAGACUGCCUUCGUAAGGAGGAGGAAGGUGUGGACGACGUCAAGUCAUCAUGGCCCUUAUGCCCAGGGCGACACACGUGCUACAAUGGCAUAUACAAUGAGACGCAAUACCGCGAGGUGGAGCAAAUCUAUAAAAUAUGUCCCAGUUCGGAUUGUUCUCUGCAACUCGAGAGCAUGAAGCCGGAAUCGCUAGUAAUCGUAGAUCAGCCAUGCUACGGUGAAUACGUUCCCGGGUCUUGUACUCACCGCCCGUCACACCAUGGGAGUUGAUUUCACUCGAAGCCGGAAUACUAAACUAGUUACCGUCCACAGUGGAAUCAGCGACUGGGGUGAAGUCGUAACAAGGUAACCGUAGGAGAACCUGCGGUUGGAUCACCUCCUUU
rnacentral:rRNA from 1 species